GCCGUGGGAGGCUCGCGCCCUGACGCCUCAGUAGCUGCGGUCCGGUCCCCUCGCCCUCUGGGCUCUCGCUCGCCUUCCGGUUCCGCCUCUCACCUGCCCCGAGGUGUCCGGGCGGGACCGGGGCGGGACCGGCCACCUGGAGAGGAGUUUGUCUCCACCAGGUUACGAGCUCUACUUGCACUCAGAGAAUACCGCCUCGAGGCACCACAGCUACCUCCUGUGCCCAGACCUCAGUGUCCCUCUGACAGAGCGAGGAUCUCUUGGCUCUGAAGGAAAGCAGCUGCAGGGAGCCCCUGAGCCCCUUUUCUCUGACAGAUUUCAGAACCAAGAUCCUUGAGGGGGGACGUGGUGGGCAGUUAGACAUGAACAGAGCGAGGACGAUGGGCCAGCGGCAGAAGGUCACCGCGGUGGAAAGCUCCAGGGUGACCCUCCUCCCCUAGAACAUGGCUGGUCGUGGGGUUUGGACCCCCUGGCCUUUCCUCCCAAGAGAUAACAUCGAGGCCUCAGUUGUCUUUCAGCUCCAGGCCCAGAAAAAGCAACAAAACCAGCCACAGCGGAGGCCAGGACCAGCUGCAGGGAAUAAUGACCCCGCCCUGGUGCCGGCCCAUCACUCCGUGGAGACCACACCCUGAAAGGACACACCUGGAAAGCUGCUGGACCUUCUGUUGAGAUCUUCCCCUGGGACCUCCCCUAAAAUCCCCACCUUAAAGCCCUUAGGACUGAGGGCCAAGUUUGUCUGCCCUCCCAGGAGCCUGUCCUCCCUGGAGCUGCCCAAGCCUUUCCCUUUCCCUGGCCCCUCCCCUGCCCCGCAAACACAUUGCCAUCACCUUCCUCCUUCCCAAGCCCUAAGAGAGCUGUCUAUAACUGGUUUCCUAGGUUUACCAAAUAAAUGUUCUCUUAUUUAAAAACAAAAUCUAAGAAGAUUUUUAAAAAGCGGAGCCCAGCAGCCAUUUCUGCACAGGGGCCUCUCAGCAGACGGCACUCCUCGGAGCGGCUCCUCUGUGCUGGGCGGCCUGCCUGCCGAUACACCGCCUGCUCCCUGCACGCAGUCAGCCCUUUAAAGGUCUCCGAGAGCCCUAUUCCAGCCACUAGGACGGAGGCGGUCCCUGUGCAAUCGGAUAUGGGAAGGGGUCGUGCCUAAGGGGUUUAUGUGUGUCCCACGGGCCCUAAGGAGAGGAGCUGGAGUCAGUGGACAGAGUCGGGCAUAUUUCAGCCCAACGCAGUGAUUUCCAACAAGCCAUCGAAAGAUGAAUCGCGCUGCCUCUGCAGGCGGUGAUCCCGUCACCAGAAGUGCCACCCGGGUCCCGAGGAGACAGAACAAAUCCUCUGAGCUAAAAUGAUGUGUGAAGGACACAGGCAGGUCAACCCAGGAAGAAGGAAAAGCAAGACUGCCAGCAGGAAAAGGUGCCAGUCUGUCUGGAACACCCGCGUCCAUAAAGGGCUGCCCCGCGCCUGCGUGUGCAGAUAUGCGGAAGGUUCUAGAGACAUGCGCGCCACGAAAUGACUCCAGCCCUGAAACCCGUUGCCCUGUGCACGGCAGAAAAAUGAUUGUGUGAAGUUGUAAAAACGGGAAGGAUGAGACGAGCCUGGAAAUGAUCCAAUUGAAGGAAGAUUGCAGACUCGCUUAGUCACCUGAAGGGAGAGAGGAGGCCUGACGAAACGGGAGGAGAUGAUCACAUCGCUUAAGUGGGCAUUGAUCAACGUGUUUGGCAGGACAAGUGGAAAUGGUUUUUUCUUAAAUAAUUCAAACCUGCAGGCUUCCAACCCGGCUGAAGGUAGUAUAAAGGUCUGCUCUCUAUAAAAACGUGUGGUGCCCCAGCGGCGAAGGAGGAGCAUUUAAAGGAGGAAUAAGUAGAACUCACUCCCUGUCUGCAGCUGAGAGCGAUGAAUGAAGGCCCAGCUGCUAAAUACACAGUAGCCUUCAGCUGAACCCCUGGCAGAAGGAGAAGGAAAUGCCAUCUGCCUGCUGACCCGGAGGAGAGCAGACUUAAACCACAUAAUAUUAUCACCGAGGGAGUCAGGCCUGGUGAUUUAAAGACAUUUCUACUUCGAACGUUCGAUACGUGUCAAAACCUAUGACAUGUUUCCAUGGCUGGUUGUUCAUUUUUCUCCUCAGUGUUUCCCUGAACUAAUCAAUACAGGGCGCGGUGGGGGAGACCCCUGAAAUUGAAAGGGCAUUAAGGUUAUGGCCAUGUUGAUGGGAUCCUAUCGUAACCGUGCCGUCGGAUAACGUUGUCAUCGUGGGGAAGCGGUGUGCUUAUGUCAUCAGAAGCGGCACGGCACAGAGUGAAGUCAGAGGUUUCUAGUCUCCGCCGGCUGCGUAUCAGUUUUAUGACCCUGAGCAAGCGACUUAGUUUUUCUGGACUCCUUUUGCGUAAGAUGAUGGUACAGUACUUGCUGGUGUGGCUGCUUCAGGGAUGAAAUGAAAAGCAGGUCUGUGAGCCCUCACUGGUUUUGGUUUGGUUCAUUGGACAGAGCGUCGGCCUGAGGACUGAAGGGUCCCGGGCUCAAUUCUGGUCAAGGGCACAUGCCCCGGUCGCAGGCUCCUU